GCUGUAUUGUUCCAUUUCCUGGGUAUAGGGGAUGGGCCGGCCGUGGACAGUGCUGAGUGUCUGUGGCACUGGAUGUCGGAUCCCUUGGGCAGAUGCUGAGCAGUGGUGUCGCUGGGUGCUUGGCACAUCUACUUUUAGCUCUUUUAGGGUUCUCCGCAUUGAUUUCUAGAGUGGCUCUACAGUUUCAAUCCCACCAGCAGAAAAUGGGGUUUCCCUUUCCCCUCAUCCUCUCCGGCAUUUUCUGUCUGCUGUUUUAUGAUCUUCCCCGUUCUGACUGGAGGGAGAUGAAAACCAAAAGCUGUUUUGAUUUGAUAUUUCUGUAAUUGUGAAGGACAAUGAACACCUUUUGAAAUAUUUCUUAGCCGUCUUUUAUCUUCUUUGGAGGGCACUCUGUUCAGGUUCCAAACCCAAUGUUUUCCAAUGGUUUGUUCUUGUUUCCGUUACUUUAAGAUUUAUUUUCGUUGUUUUUUUAAUUGUGUACGUGUGUCAGUGUUCAGGUUAUUACCACAUGGAUAGGUGGCCAUGGAGGCCGGAAGGGGGUGUCAGAACCCCUGGAGCCUGCUAAUGUGGGUGCUGGGAAGUGAACUCAGAACCUCUGAAAGAGCAGCCAGUGCUCUUAACCACAGAACCAUCUCUCCAGACCCUCGUUUCUCUUCAUUUUCCUCUUCAUUUGUAUUUCAUUUUGGCUAUCUUUGACUCUUGCCUUUUUUUAAUUCUUUAUAUAGUCUGGAUAUUAAUACUCUGUCAGAUGUAGAAGCUUCCUCUUCAGUAGACUGGUUGUGUUUAACUGUGCAAGUGGUACCAGGAAGGGAAGCAGCCAGUAGUCCUACCCAGCUGUAGGACUGGCUCCAACACGCCACAAAAUCCCUAAGGAUGCAAUAGUGGCACACGUGUCAGCAGAAACCAACAGCUUUCUAACUGGACUUAAGGACAUCAUGCCUGGCACUAGUAACCAUGCCAACUACCCAGGGCUAGUCAGGUCAUAAAUCUUGGUGAGAACAUAAACCUGCCACUCUUCCGAUCCAGAAUAACCCCUAACUACUUUCUAAGUAUUUGUCCUCAUACCCACAGAUAAGUAAAGGUCUCACACCUUAUCAAAGAAACCUCUCCUUGCAGCAGACGGAGACAAUUAUAGAAAACGGCAACCAAUCCAAACACAGAGAAUAAGUAUACCCAGCACCAACCGAUACCUACAACCCAAUCCCUACUAAGGCUCAGGGAUCGUAGCAGAAGAGGGGGCAAAAGGAGUGUAAAGGCCAGAGGAACCAGAUGUUUGCUGUGAUUGCAUCUCCUAGAAAUGUCAGAGAAGUGUCUGCAAAUGUAUUCAGAGGAAGGAGAGCUAGGGGUAAGACAGACAAGAAGUGUGUGAAGACACCAUGGCUUUGCACUUUGAGAAGACGUUAAUAAAUGGAAACAUCCAAAGCCGCAUUGAAAAUGAAAAUCUCUGCAAAUAAAUAGUGCACUUGUGAGUGAAAGCAAGCCUGGUUAAAACGCGCUCAAGAAAGGCCUGGCAACCUCAAGGUCAAGGCCAGGAACUGUAAACACGCUCUGUGCGUUUAAAAGCAUGCUCUAACUGAUAGGGGCACAAUGCCUCACGCAUUUUCUUAGGAUGCAAAAUAAAUAAAGACAUUCCAUUUCCUGCAAACUGGGAGAUUGUGAGUUUCCUAAUAGGCUUUAUCUGAAUCAGGCUUUCCUGAGGAAAUGAUGAUGUUUAAGCCAGAACAAACAUGCUUCUCUUGGAAUGUGGCUCCUUUGUGCAAUACUUGGUUUCACAGAUAGGACCCAGCACACAAGGCUUGCCCAAGACUCGAUUUCCAUCUUUCUAGCUCUUUCCAAAGAGAAUUCUCUAUCAGCUGGAAAAGAAUCUGAAAUACCACCGUUCCUCCGUGGACCGGCGUGGCAGGCUGUAUCCUAGCAAGAGUUGUACUUCUGUCGGUUGUAGGAUGUGGAGUUUGCACUGGUUGCUCUCUUUUUCCUUCCUUCCUUCCUUCCUUCCUUCCUUCCUUCCUUCCUUCCUUCCUUCCUUCCUUCCUCAUUAUGUAUGUAUCUCUGGACUUGAACACAGAAAGAUCCUCCUGCCCCUGCCUUCCAAGUGCUGGGAUUAAAGACAACCUUCCUUAGAACCUCAUUGUCUGUCUCAAUUUGAUUUAUUAAAUCUGGUAACAAAAGUUUUCAAAAACACUGGAGUUUUUGCUUCAUAGCUUCUUCGUGGUUUUCUGGAGUGGUGGCACCUAUUUGUGAUACCAUCAUUUGAGAGGCUUCGGUAAGAGGAUUACUGCAUGGGAGUUGCAAACCAGCCCGGGACCACGUCCUAAUGAAUGAGACCCUGCC
rnacentral:lncRNA from 1 species